rnacentral:misc_RNA from 1 species
UACGUAGGGUCCGAGCGUUGUCCGGAAUCAUUGGGCGUAAAGCGCGUGUAGGCGGCCCAGUAAGUCGGAUGUGACAGCCCGAGCCUCAACUUCGGAAAUGCAUUCGGUACUACUGGGCUUGGGGAAGGUAGAGGAGAGUGGAAUUCCCGGGGUAGCGGUGAAAUGCGUAGAGAUGUGGAGGUACACCAGUGGCGAAGGCGACUUUCUGGUCUGUAACUGACGCUGAGGCGCGAAAGCGUGGGGAGCAAACAGG